rnacentral:rRNA from 1 species
GUGGGGAAUAUUCCGCAAUGGACGAAAGUCUGACGGAGCAACGCCGCGUGAGUGAUGAAGGUUUUCGGACUGUAAAGCUCUGUUGUUUAGGACGAAAGUGCCUGUUGCGAACAGUUACAGGUAUUGACGGUACUAAACGAGGAAGCCACGGCUAACUACGUGCCAGCAGCCGCGGUAAUACGUAGGUGGCAAGCGUUGUCCGGAAUUAUUGGGCGUAAAGAGCAUGUAGGCGGAGAUUUAAGUCUGUUGUGAAAAUGCGGGGCUCAACCCCGUAUUGCGAUGGAAACUGAAUUUCUUGAGUGCAGGAGAGGAAAGGGGAAUUCCCAGUGUAGCGGUGAAAUGCGUAGAUAUUGGGAGGAACACCAGUGGCGAAGGCGCCUUUCUGGACUGUGUCUGACGCUGAGAUGCGAAAGCCAGGGUAGCGAACGGGAUUAGAAACCCGUGUAGUCC